GUUUGGGCAAGUUCCUGAGUAAGGCUGUUUUGGUAGUGAUAUACGUUCUCAUUAUGACUACCAGGAAACAUCUGUCUCUCCACCUUGUUUCUGAUCAACCAUCUGCUCUUUGUUCAUUUGUCAACUCUCCAGCUGAAACAGCAUCCUUAAAAUGACGGGAGUGAUGGCUGGAGUGACGCCUGGAGUACUGGAACCUUUCUCCUCCGGAAGCUGCUGGUUCAGAGCGAAUGGCGGGAA